UACGUAGGGUGCGAGCGUUUAAUCGGAAUUACUGGGCGUAAAGCGUGCGCAGGCGGUUUUGUAAGCCGGAUGUGAAAUCCCCGGGCUAACCUGGGAAUGGCAUUCGGGACUGCAAGGCUGGAGUGCGGCAGAGGAGACUGGAAUUCCUGGUGUAGCAGUGAAAUGCGUAGAUAUCAGGAGGAACACCGAUGGCGAAGGCAGGUCUCUGGGACGUGACUGACGCUGAGACGCGAAAGCGUGGGGAGCAACAGG
rnacentral:rRNA from 1 species